GUUUGUCAGUGAUGAGACCACGGAUCUUUUGCGUCAGGCAUGGCGCCCGACACACAUGAGGAUACCUUCCAUGCUGCCUUCCUUCUGAGACUUCAC